GGUGUUAGCUCAAUGGUAGAGCAGUUGCCCAACCUGCAAGAGAACCUGGGUUUGAUCCCCAGCACCA
rnacentral:tRNA from 1 species